UACGUAGGGGGCAAGCGUUGUCCGGAAUUAUUGGGCGGAAAGAGCUCGUAGGCGGUCUGUCGCGUCGGCUGUGAAAACCCGGAGCUCAACUCCGGGCCUGCAGUCGAUACGGGCAAACUGGAGUGUUGCAGGGGAGACUGGAAUUCCUGGUGUAGCGGUGAAAUGCGCAGAUAUCAGGAGGAACACCGGUGGCGAAGGCGGGUCACUGGUCCGGUACUGACGCUGAGGUGCGAAAGCGUGGGUAGCAAACGGG
rnacentral:rRNA from 1 species